rnacentral:tRNA from 1 species
GGACUAGUGUGGAAUGAUCUGGAGUUGGGUUGGUGGAGCGGUUUCCUAAACCGCGUGUCGUCGGUUCAAUUCCGGCCGGGGCCACCA